UUGUGCUGAGUGACGCCAAAUUUCCCUGAAAACUACAUGUAGAAAGGUCCUGGAAAGUGAUUCUUAGCCGAAAUCCAUGACCCUAACCCGAACCCUAACCCUAACCCUAACCCUAACCCUAGCCUCAACCCUAACCCUAACCCUAGCCCUGACCCUAGCCCGAACCUCAACCCUUACCCUAACCCUAACCCUGACCCUAGCCCUGACCCUAGACCGAACAUCAACCCGUACACAAACCCUAAUCCUAACCCCUAACCCCUACCCCGAGCUCAAACCCUAACCCUGGCCUCAACCCUAACCCUAACACUAGCCUCAUCAAUGACCCUAACCCUAACCCUAGCAUCAACCCUGACCCGAACCCUAACCCUAGCCUCAACCAUAACCCUAACCCUAACCCUAGCCUCGACCCUAACCCUAACCCUUACUCUAGCCUCACACAUAACCCUAACCCUAACCCUAGCCUCAACAUAACCCUAACUCUAACCCUAGCCUCAUCCACAACCCUAACCCUAACCCUAGCCUCAACCACAACCCUAACCCUAACCCUAACCCUAGCCUCAAACAUCACUCUAACCCUAACCCUAACCCUAGCCUCAAAUGUAACCCUAACCCAAACCCUAACCCUAGCCUCAGCCACAACUCUAACCCUAACCCUAACCCUAGCCUCAACCAUAACCCUAACCCUAGCCUCAAACAUCACUCUAACCGUAACCCUAACCCUAGCCUCAAAUAUCUCUCUAACCCUAACCCUAACCCUAGCCUCAACCACAACCCUAACCCUAACCCUAUCCCUAGCCUCAAACAUCACUCUAACCCUAACCCUAACCCUAGCCUCAAACGUAACCCUAACCCAAGCCUCAGCCAAAACCCUAACCCUAGCCUCAACCAUAACCCUAACCCUAACCCUAGCCUCAACCAUAACCAUAACCAUAACCCUAACCCUAGCCUCAACCAUAACCAUAACCCUAACCCUAGCCUCGAAAAGCUCUCUAACCCUAACCCUAACCCUAGCCUCAACCACAACCGUAACCCUAACCCUAACUCUAGCCUCAAAAAUCACCAUAACCCUAACCCUAACCCUAACCCUAGCCUCAGCCACAACCCUAACCCUAACCCGACCCUAGCCUCAACCAUAACCCUAACCCUAACCCUAACCCUAACCCUAGCCUCAACCACAACCCUAACCCUAACCCUAACCCUAGCCUCAAACAUAACUCUAACCCUAACCCUAACCCUAGCCUCAGCCACAACCCUAACCCUAACCCUAACCCUAGCCUCAGCCACAACCGUAACCCUAACCCUAACCCUAGCCUCAACCAUAACCCUAACCCUAACCCUAACCCUAGCCUCAACCACAACCCUAACCCUAACCCUAGCCCCAAAUAUCUCUCUAACCCUAACCCUAACCCUAACCCUAGCCUCAACCACAACCCUAACCCUAACCCUAACCCUAGCCUCAACCACUACCCUAACCCUAACCCUAACCCUAGCCCUAGCCUCAAACAUUACUCUAACCCUAACCCUAACCCUAGCCUCAAACAUAACUCUAACCCUAACCCUAACCCUAGCCUCAGCCACAACCCUAACCCUAACCCUAACCCUAGCCUCAGCCACAACCCUAACCCUAACCCUAACCCUAGCCUCAACCAUAACCCUAACCCUAACCCUAACCCUAGCCCCAAAUAUCUCUCUAACCCUAACCCGAACCCUAACCCUAGCCUCAACCAAAACCCUAACCCUAACCCUAACCCUAGCCUCAAACAUCACUCUAACCCUAACCCUAACCCUAGCCUCAAAAAUCACCAUAACCCUAACCCUAACCCUAGCCACAACCGUAACCCUAACCCUAUCCUCAACAAUAACCCUAACCCUAACCCUAGCCUCAACCACACACCUAACCCUAACCCUAGCCCUGGCCUCAAACAUCACUCUAACCCUAACCCUAGCCUCAAACAUAACUCUAACCCUAACCCUAACCCUAGCCUCAGCCACAACCGUAACCCUAACCCUAACCCUAGCCUCAACCAUAACCCUAACCCUAACCCUAACCCUAGCCUCAACCACAACCCUAACCCUAACCCUAGCCCCAAAUAUCUCUCUAACCCUAACCCUAACCCUAACCCUAGCCUCAACCACAACCCUAACCCUAACCCUAACCCUAGCCUCAACCACUACCCUAACCCUAACCCUAGCCCUAGCCUCAAACAUUACUCUAACCCUAACCCUAACCCUAGCCUCAAACAUAACUCUAACCCUAACCCUAACCCUAGCCUCAGCCAAAACCCUAACCCUAACCCUAACCCUAGCCUCAGCCACAACCGUAACCCUAACCCUAACCCUAACCCUAGCCUCAACCGUAACCCUAACCCUAACCCUAACCCUAGCCUCAACCACAACCCUAACCCUAACCCUAACCCUAGCCCCAAAUAUCUCUCUAACCCUAACCCAAACCCUAACCCUAGCCUCAACCAAAACCCUAACCCUAACCCUAACCCUAGCCUCAAACAUCACUCUAACCCUAACCCUAACCCUAGCCUCAAAAAUCACCAUAACCCUAACCCUAACCCUAGCCACAACCGUAACCCUAACCCUAUCCUCAACAAUAACCCUAACCCUAACCCUAGCCUCAACCACACACCUAACCCUAACCCUAGCCCUGGCCUCAAACAUCACUCUAACCCUAACCCUAGCCUCAAACAUAACUCUAACCCUAACCCUAACCCUAACCCUAACCCUAGCCUCAACCACAACCCUAACCCUAACCCUAACCCUAGCCUCAACCAUAACCCUAACCCUAAACCUAGCCUCAACCACAACCCUAACCCUAACCCUAACCCUAACCCUAACCCUAGCCUCAACCACAACCCUAACCCUAACCCUAACCCUAGCCUCAAACAUCACUCUAACCCUAACCCUAACCCUAGCCUCAAAAAUCACCAUAACCCUAACCCUAACCCUAGCCACAACCGUAACCCUAACCCUAUCCUCAACAAUAACCCUAACCCUAACCCUAGCCUCAACCACACACCUAACCCUAACCCUAGCCCUGGCCUCAAACAUCACUCUAACCCUAACCCUAGCCUCAAACAUAACUCUAACCCUAACCCUAACCCUAGCCUCAGCCACAACCCUAACCCUAACCCUAACCCUAGCCUCAACCAUAACCCUAACCCUAACCCUAACCCUAGCCUCAACCACAACCCUAACCCUAACCCUAGCCCCAAAUAUCUCUCUAACCCUAACCCUAACCCUAACCCUAACCCUAGCCUCAACCACAACCCUAACCCUAACCCUAGCCCCAAAUAUCUCUCUAACCCUAACCCUAACCCUAACCCUAGCCUCAACCACAACCCUAACCCUAACCCUAACCCUAGCCUCAACCACUACCCUAACCCUAACCCGAACCCUAACCCUAGCCUCAAACAUUACUCUAACCCUAACCCUAACCCUAGCCUCAAACAUAACUCUAACCCUAACCCUAACCCUAGCCUCAGCCAAAACCCUAACCCUAACCCUAACCCUAGCCUCAGCCACAACCGUAACCCUAACCCUAACCCUAACCCUAGCCUCAACCAUAACCCUAACCCUAACCCUAACCCUAGCCUCAACCACAACCCUAACCCUAACCCUAACCCUAGCCCCAAAUAUCUCUCUAACCCUAACCCGAACCCUAACCCUAGCCUCAACCAAAACCCUAACCCUAACCCUAACCCUAGCCUCAAACAUCACUCUAACCCUAACCCUAACCCUAGCCUCAAAAAUCACCAUAACCCUAACCCUAACCCUAGCCACAACCGUAACCCUAACCCUAUCCUCAACAAUAACCCUAACCCUAACCCUAGCCUCAACCACACACCUAACCCUAACCCUAGCCCUGGCCUCAAACAUCACUCUAACCCUAACCCUAGCCUCAAACAUAACCCUAACCCUAACCCUAACCCUAACCCUAGCCUCAACCACAACCCUAACCCUAACCCUAACCCUAGCCUCAACCAUAACCCUAACCCUAAACCUAGCCUCAACCACAACCCUAACCCUAACCCUAACCCUAACCCUAGCCUCAACCACAACCCUAACCCUAACCCUAACCCUAGCCUCAAACAUCACUCUAACCCUAACCCUAACCCUAACCCUAGCCUCAAAAAUCACCAUAACCCUAACCCUAACCCUAGCCACAACCGUAACCCUAACCCUAUCCUCAACAAUAACCCUAACCCUAACCCUAGCCUCAACCACACACCUAACCCUAACCCUAGCCCUGGCCUCAAACAUCACUCUAACCCUAACCCUAGCCUCAAACAUAACUCUAACCCUAACCCUAACCCUAGCCUCAGCCACAACCCUAACCCUAACCCUAACCCUAGCCUCAACCAUAACCCUAACCCUAACCCUAACCCUAGCCUCAACCACAACCCUAACCCUAACCCUAGCCCCAAAUAUCUCUCUAACCCUAACCCUAACCCUAACCCUAACCCUAGCCUCAACCACAACCCUAACCCUAACCCUAGCCCCAAAUAUCUCUCUAACCCUAACCCUAACCCUAGCCUCAACCACAACCCUAACCCUAACCCUAACCCUAGCCUCAACCACUACCCUAACCCUAACCCGAACCCUAACCCUAGCCUCAAACAUUACUCUAACCCUAACCCUAACCCUAGCCUCAAACAUAACUCUAACCCUAACCCUAACCCUAGCCUCAGCCAAAACCCUAACCCUAACCCUAACCCUAGCCUCAGCCACAACCGUAACCCUAACCCUAACCCUAACCCUAGCCUCAACCAUAACCCUAACCCUAACCCUAACCCUAGCCUCAACCACAACCCUAACCCUAACCCUAACCCUAGCCCCAAAUAUCUCUCUAACCCUAACCCGAACCCUAACCCUAGCCUCAACCAAAACCCUAACCCUAACCCUAACCCUAGCCUCAAACAUCACUCUAACCCUAACCCUAACCCUAGCCUCAAAAAUCACCAUAACCCUAUCCUCAACAAUAACCCUAACCCUAACCCUAGCCUCAACCACACACCUAACCCUAACCCUAGCCCUGGCCUCAAACAUCACUCUAACCCUAACCCUAGCCUCAAACAUAACUCUAACCCUAACCCUAACCCUAACCCUAACCCUAGCCUCAACCACAACCCUAACCCUAACCCUAACCCUAGCCUCAACCAUAACCCUAACCCUAAACCUAGCCUCAACCACAACCCUAACCCUAACCGUAACCCUAACCCUAGCCUCAACCACAACCCUAACCCUAACCCUAACCCUAGCCUCAAACAUAACUCUAACCCUAACCCUAACCCUAGCCUCAGCCACAACCCUAACCCUAACCCUAACCCUAGCCUCAGCCACAACCGUAACCCUAACCCUAACCCUAGCCUCAACCAUAACCCUAACCCUAACCCUAACCCUAACCCUAGCCUCAACCACAACCCUAACCCUAACCCUAGCCCCAAAUAUCUCUCUAACCCUAACCCUAACCCUAACCCUAGCCUCAACCACAACCCUAACCCUAACCCUAACCCUAGCCUCAACCACUACCCUAACCCUAACCCUAACCCUAGCCCUAGCCUCAAACAUUACUCUAACCCUAACCCUAACCCUAGCCUCAAACAUAACUCUAACCCUAACCCUAACCCUAGCCUCAGCCACAACCCUAACCCUAACCCUAACCCUAGCCUCAGCCACAACCGUAACCCUAACCCUAACCCUAGCCUCAACCAUAACCCUAACCCUAACCCUAACCCUAGCCUCAACCACAACCCUAACCCUAACCCUAACCCUAGCCCCAAAUAUCUCUCUAACCCUAACCCGAACCCUAACCCUAGCCUCAACCAAAACCCUAACCCUAACCCUAACCCUAGCCUCAAACAUCACUCUAACCCUGACCCUAACCCUAGCCUCAAAAAUCACCAUAACCCUAACCCUAACCCUAGCCACAACCGUAACCCUAACCCUAUCCUCAACAAUAACCCUAACCCUAACCCUAGCCUCAACCACACACCUAACCCUAACCCUAGCCCUGGCCUCAAACAUCACUCUAACCCUAACCCUAGCCUCAAACAUAACUCUAACCCUAACCCUAACCCUAGCCUCAGCCACAACCGUAACCCUAACCCUAACCCUAGCCUCAACCAUAACCCUAACCCUAACCCUAACCCUAGCCUCAACCACAACCCUAACCCUAACCCUAGCCCCAAAUAUCUCUCUAACCCUAACCCUAACCCUAACCCUAGCCUCAACCACAACCCUAACCCUAACCCUAACCCUAGCCUCAACCACUACCCUAACCCUAACCCUAACCCUAGCCCUAGCCUCAAACAUUACUCUAACCCUAACCCUAACCCUAGCCUCAAACAUAACUCUAACCCUAACCCUAACCCUAGCCUCAGCCCCAAACCCUAACCCUAACCCUAACCCUAGCCUCAGCCACAACCGUAACCCUAACCCUAACCCUAGCCUCAACCAUAACCCUAACCCUAACCCUAACCCUAGCCUCAACUACAACCCUAACCCUAACCCUAACCCUAGCCCCAAAUAUCUCUCUAACCCUAACCCGAACCCUAACCCUAGCCUCAACCAAAACCCUAACCCUAACCCUAACCCUAGCCUCAAACAUCACUCUAACCCUAACCCUAACCCUAGCCUCAAAAAUCACCAUAACCCUAACCCUAACCCUAACCCUGGCCACAACCGUAACCCUAACCCUAUCCUCAACAAUAACCCUAACCCUAACCCUAGCCUCAACCACACACCUAACCCUAACCCUAGCCCUGGCCUCAAACAUCACUCUAACCCUAACCCUAGCCUCAAACAUAACUCUAACCCUAACCCUAACCCUAACCCUAACCCUAGCCUCAACCACAACCCUAACCCUAACCCUAACCCUAGCCUCAACCAUAACCCUAACCCUAAACCUAGCCUCAACCACAACCCUAACCCUAACCCUAACCCUAACCCUAACCCUAGCCUCAACCACAACCCUUACCCUAACCCUAACCCUAGCCCUAGCCUCAAACAUUACUCUAACCCUAACCCUAACCCUAGCCUCAAACAUAACUCUAACCCUAACCCUAACCCUAGCCUCAGCCACAACCCUAACCCUAACCCUAACCCUAGCCUCAGCCACAACCGUAACCCUAACCCUAACCCUAGCCUCAACCAUAACCCUAACCCUAACCCUAACCCUAGACUCAACCACAACCCUAACCCUAACCCUAACCCUAGCCCCAAAUAUCUCUCUAACCCUAACCCGAACCCUAACCCUAGCCUCAACCAAAACCCUAACCCUAACCCUAACCCUAGCCUCAAACAUCACUCUAACCCUAACCCUAACCCUAGCCUCAAAAAUCACCAUAACCCUAACCCUAACCCUAGCCACAACCGUAACCCUAACCCUAUCCUCAACAAUAACCCUAACCCUAACCCUAGCCUCAACCACACACCUAACCCUAACCCUAGCCCUGGCCUCAAACAUCACUCUAACCCUAACCCUAGCCUCAAACAUAACUCUAACCCUAACCCUAACCCUAGCCUCAGCCACAACCGUAACCCUAACCCUAACCCUAGCCUCAACCAUAACCCUAACCCUAACCCUAACCCUAGCCUCAACCACAACCCUAACCCUAACCCUAGCCCCAAAUAUCUCUCUAACCCUAACCCUAACCCUAACCCUAGCCUCAACCACAACCCUAACCCUAACCCUAACCCUAGCCUCAACCACUACCCUAACCCUAACCCUAACCCUAGCCCUAGCCUCAAACAUUACUCUAACCCUAACCCUAACCCUAGCCUCAGCCACAACCCUAACCCUAACCCGACCCUAGCCUCAACCAUAACCCUAACCCUAACCCUAGCCUCAACCACAACCCUAACCCUAACCCUAGCCCUAGCCUCAAAUAUCACUCUAACCCUAACCCUAACUCUAGCCUAAAACAUAACCCUAACCCUAACCCUAACCCUAGCCUCAACCACAACCCUAACCCUAACCCUAACCCAAGCCUCAGCCACAACCCUAACCCUAACCCUAACCCUAGCCUCAACCAUAACCCUAACCCUAACCCUAGCCCCAAAUAUCUCUCUAACCCUAACCCUAACCCUAACCCUAGCCUCAACCACAACCCUAACCCUAACCCUAAUCCUAGCCUCAAACAUCACUCUAACCCUAACCCUAACCCUAGCCUCAAAAAUCACCAUAACCCUAACCCUAACCCUAACCCUAGCCACAACCGUAACCCUAACCCUAGCCUCAACAAUAACCCUAACCCUAACCCUAACCCUAGCCUCAACCACAACCCUAACCCUAACCCUAGCCCUGGCCUCAAACAUCACUCUAACCCUAACCCUAGCCUCAAACAUAACUCUAACCCUAACCCUAACCCUAACCCUAACCCUAGCCUCAACCACAACCCUAACCCUAACCCUAACCCUAGCCUCAACCAUAACCCUAACCCUAAACCUAGCCUCAACCACAACCCUAACCCUAACCCUAACCCUAACCCUAACCCUAGCCUCGAAAAGCUCUUUAACCCCAACCCUAACCCUAGCCUCAGCCACAACCCUAACCCUAACCCGACCCUAGCCUCAACCAUAACCCUAACCCUAACCCUAACCCUAGCCUCAACCACAACCCUAACCCUAACCCUAGCCCUAGCCUCAAAUAUCACUCUAACCCUAACCCUAACCCUAGCCUAAAACAUAACUCUAACCCUAACCCUAACCCUAGCCUCAGCCACAACCCUAACCCUAAACCUAACCCUAGGCUCAGCCACAACCGUAACCCUAACCCUAACCCUAGCCUCAACCAUAACCCUAACCCUAACCCUAACCCUAGCCUCAACCACAACCCUAACCCUAACCCUAACCCUAGCCCCAAAUAUCUCUCUAACCCUAACCCUAACCCUAACCCUAGCCUCAACCACAACCCUAACCCUAACCCUAACCCUAGCCUCAAACAUCACUCUAACCCUAACCCUAACCCUAGCCUCAAAAAUCACAAUAACCCUAACCCUAACCCUAACCUUAGCCACAACCGUAACCCUAACCCUAGCCUCAAAAAUAACCCUAACCCUAACCCUAACCCUAGCCUCAACCACAACCCUAACCCUAACCCUAGCCCUGGCCUCAAACAUCACUCUAACCCUAACCCUAGCCUCAAACAUAACUCUAACCCUAACCCUAACCCUAGCCUCAACCAUAACCCUAACCCUAACCCUAACCCUAGCCUCAACCACAACCCUAACCCUAACCCUAACCCUAACCCUAGCCUUAAACACAACCCUAACCCUAACCCUAAAACUAGCCUCAAACAUCACUCUAACCCUAACCCUAACCCUAGCCUCAGCCACAACCCUAACGCUAAACCUAACCCUAGCCUCAGCCACAACCGUAACCCUAACCCUAACCCUAGCCUCAACCGUAACCCUAACCCUAACCCUAACCCUAGCCUCAACCACAACCCUAACCCUAACCCUAACCCUAGCCCCAAAUAUCUCUCUAACCCUAACCCUAACCCUAACCCUAACCCUAGCCUCAACCACAACCCUAACCCUAACCCUAACCCUAGCCUCAAACAUCACUCUAACCCUAACCCUAACCCUAGCCUCAAAAAUCACAAUAACCCUAACCCUAACCCUAGCCACAACCGUAACCCUAACCCUAGCCUCAACAAUAACCCUAACCCUAACCCUAACCCUAGCCUCAACCACAACCCUAACCCUAACCCUAGCCCUGGCCUCAAACAUCACUCUAACCCUAACCCUAGCCUCAAACAUAACUCUAACCCUAACCCUAACCCUAGCCUCAACCAUAACCCUAACCCUAACCCUAACCCUAGCCUCAACCACAACCCUAACCCUAACCCUAACCCUAACCCUAGCCUUAAACACAACCCUAACCCUAACCCUAACACUAGCCUCAAACAUCACUCUAACCCUAACCCUAACCCUAGCCUCAGCAACAACCCUAACCCUAACCCUAACCCUGGCCUCAGCCACAACCGUAACCCUAACCCUAACCCUAGUCUCAACCAUAACCCUAACCCUAACCGUAACCCUAGCCUCAACCACAACCCUAACCCUAACCCUAGCCCUGGCCUCAAACAUCACUCUAACCCUAACCCUAGCCUCAAACAUGACUCUAACCCUAACCCUAACCCUAACCCUAGCCUCAACCACAACCCUAACCCUAACCCUAACCCUAGCCUCAACCAUAACCCUAACCCUAACCCUAACUCUAGCCUCAACCACAACCCUAACCCUAACCCUAACCCUAACCCUAGCCUCAACCAAAACCCUAACCCUAGCCCCAAAUAUCUCUCUAACCCUAACCCUAACCCUAACCCUAGCCCCAAAUAUCUCUCUAACCCUAACCCUAACCCUAACCCUAGCCUCAGCCACAACCCUAACCCUAACCCUAGCCUCAGCCACAACCGUAACCCUAACCCUAACCCUAGCCUCAACCACAACCCUAACCCUAACCCUAACCCUAGCCUCGAAAAGCUCUCUAACCCUAACCCUAACCCUAGCCUCAACCACAACCGUAACCCUAACCCCCAACUCUAGCCUCGAAAAUCACCAUAACCCUAACCCUAACCCUAGCCUCAGCCACAACCCUAACCCUAACCCGACCCUAGCCUCAACCAUAACCCUAACCCUAACCCUAGCCUCAACCACAACCCUAACCCUAACCCUAGCCCUAGCCUCAAAUAUCACUCUAACCCUAACCCUAACUCUAGCCUAAAACAUAACCCUAACCCUAACCCUAACCCUAGCCUCAACCACAACCCUAACCCUAACCCUAACCCAAGCCUCAGCCACAACCCUAACCCUAACCCUAACCCUAGCCUCAACCAUAACCCUAACCCUAACCCUAGCCCCAAAUAUCUCUCUAACCCUAACCCUAACCCUAACCCUAGCCUCAACCACAACCCUAACCCUAACCCUAAUCCUAGCCUCAAACAUCACUCUAACCCUAACCCUAACCCUAGCCUCAAAAAUCACCAUAACCCUAACCCUAACCCUAACCCUAGCCACAACCGUAACCCUAACCCUAGCCUCAACAAUAACCCUAACCCUAACCCUAACCCUAGCCUAAACCACAACCCUAACCCUAACCCUAGCCCUGGCCUCAAACAUCACUCUAACCCUAACCCUAGCCUCAAACAUAACUCUAACCCUAACCCUAACCCUAGCCUCAACCACAACCCUAACCCUAACCCUAGCCUCAACCAUAACCCUAACCCUAACCCUGACCCUAGCCUCAACCACAACCCUAACCCUAACCCUAACCCUAGCCUCAACCACAACCCUAACCCUAACCCUAACCCUAGCCUCAAACAUCACUCUAACCCUAACCCUAACCCUAGCCUCAAAAAUCACCAUAACCCUAACCCUAACCCUAACCCUAGCCACAACCGUAACCCUAACCCUAGCCUCAACAAUAACCCUAACCCUAACCCUAACCCUAGCCUCAGCCACAACCCUAACCCUAACCCUAACCCUAGCCUCAAACAUAACUCUAACCCUAACCCUAACCCUAGCCUCAACCACAACCCUAAAACUAACCCUAACCCUAGCCUCAACCAUAACCCUAACCCUAACCCUAGCCUCAACCACAACCCUAACCCUAACCCUAGCCUCAACCACAACCCUAACCCUAACCCUAACCCUAGCCUCAGUCACAACCCUAACCCUAACCCUAGCCCCAAAUAUCUCUCUAACCCUAACACUAACCCUAACCCUGGCCUCAGCCACAACCCUAACCCUAACCCUAACCCUAGCCUCAGCCUCAACCGUAACCCUAACCCUAGCCUCAACCAUAACCCUAACCCUAACCCUUACCCUAACCCUAGCCUCAACCGUAACCCUUACCCUAACCCUAACCCUAGCCUCAACCACAACCCUAACCCUAACCCUAACCCUAACCCUGGCCUCAACCACAACCCUAACCCUAGCCUCAAUCACAACCCUAACCCUAACCCUAACCCUAGCCCCAAAUAUCUCUCGAACCCUAACCCUAACCCUAACCCUAGCCUCAACCACAACCCUAACCCUAACCCUAACCCUAGCCUCAAACAUCACUCUAACCCUAACCCUAACCCUAGCCUCAACCACAACCCUAACCCUAACCCUAACCCUAACCCUAGCCACAACUGUAACCCUAACCCUAGCCUCAACAAUAACCCUAGCCCUAACCCUAGCCUCAACCACAACACUAACCCUAACCCUAGCCCUGUCCUCAAACAUCACUAUAACCCUAACCCUAACCCUAGCCUCAAACAUAACUCUAACUCUAACCCUAGCCCUAGCCUCAACCACAACCCUAACCCUAACCCUAGCCUCAAACGUCACUCUAACCCUAACCCUAACCCUAGCCUCAAAAAUCACCAUAAUCCUAACCCUAACCCUAACCCUAGCCACAACCGUAACCCUAACCCUAGCCUCAACAAUAACCCUAACCCUAACCCUAACCCUACCCUCAACCACAACCCUAACCCUAACCCUAGCCCUGGCCUCAAACAUCACUCUAACCCUAACCCUAGCCUCAAACAUAACUCUAACCCUAACCCUAACCCUAACCCUAGCCUCAACCACAACCCUAACACUAACCCUAGCCCCAAAUAUCUCUCUAACCCUAACCCUAACCCUAACCCUAACCCUGGCCUCAGCCACAACCCUAACCCUAACCCUAACCCUAGCCUCAGCCAUAACCGUAACCCUAACCCUAACCCUAGCCUCAACCAUAACCCUAACCCUAACCCUAACCCUAGCCUCAACCACAACCCUAACCCUAACCCUAACCCUAGCCUCAACCGUAACCCUAACCCCAACCCUAACCCUAGCCUCAACCACAACCCUAACCCUAACCCUAACCCUGGCCUCAACCACAACCCUAACCCUAACCCUAACCCUAGCCUCAAUCACAACCCUAACCCUAACCCUAGCCCUGGCCUCAAACAUCACUCUAACCCUAACCCUAACCCUAGCCUCAUACAUAACUCUAACCCUAACCCUAACCCUAGCCUCAGCCAAAACCCUAACCCUAACCCUAACCCUAACCCUAGGCUCAGCCACAACCCUAACCCUAACCUUAGCCUCAACCAUAACCCUAACCCUAACCCUAACCCUAGCCUCAACCACAACCCUAACCCUAACCCUAGCCUCAACCAUAACCCUAACCCUAACCCUAACCUUAGCCUCAACCACAACCCUAACCCUAACCCUAGCCUCAAACGUAACCCUAACCCUAGCCUCAGCCAAAACCCUAACCCUAGCCUCAACCAUAACGCUAACCCUAACCCUAGCCUCAACCAUAACCAUAACCCUAACCCUAAGCCUAGCCUCGAAAAGCUCUCUCACCCUAACCCUAACCCUAGCCUCAACCACAACCGUGACCCUAACCCUAACCCUAGCCUCAAAAAUCACCAUAACCCUAACCCUAACCCUAGCCCUAGCCUCAGCCACAACCCUAACCCUAACCCUAACCCUACCCUCAACGAUAACCCUAUCCCUAACCCUAACCCUAGCCUCAGCCACAACCCUAACCCUAACCCUAACCCUAGCCUCAACGAGAACCCUAACCCUAACCCUAACCCUAGCCUCAACCACAACCCUAACCCUAACCCUAGCCCUAGACUCAAACAUCACUCUAACCCUAACCCUAACCCUAGCCUCAAACAAAACUCUAACCCUAACCCUAACCCUAGCCUCAGCCACAACCCUAACCCUAACCCUAACCCUAGCCUCAGCCACAACCCUAACCCUAACCCUAACCCUAGCCUCAGCCAUAACCCUAACCCUAACCCGAGCCUCAACCACAACCCUAACCCUAACCCUAACCCUAGCCUAAACCACAACCCCAACCCUAACCCUAACCCUAGCAUCAAAUAUCUCUCUAACCCUAACCCUAACCCUAGCCUCAAACAUCACUCUAACCCUAACCCUAACCCUAGCCUCAAACGUAACCCUAACCCUAACCCUAGCCUCAGCCACAACCCUAACCCUGGCCUCAAAUAUCUCUCUAACCCCAACCCUAACCCUAGCCUCAACCACAACCCUAACUCUAGCCUCAACAACAAGACUACCCCUAACCCUAACCCUAUCCUCACACGUAACCCUAACCCUAGCCUCAAACGUAACCCUAACCCUAACCCUAGCCUCAACCCUAACCCAAACCCUAACCCUAGCCUCAACGAUAACCCUAACCCUAACCCUAACCCUAGCCUCAACCACAGCCCUAACCUUAACCCUAGCCCUAGCCUCAAACAUCACGCUAACCCUAAUCCUAACCCUAGCCUCAAACAAAACUCUAACCCUAACCCUAACCCUAGCCUCAGCCACAACCCUAACCCUAACCCUAACCCUAGCCUCAACCACAACCCUAACCCUAACCCUAACCCAAGCCUCAGCCACAAUCCUAACCCUAACCCUAGCCUCAACCACAACCCUAACCCUAACCCUAACCCUAGCCUCAACCAUAACCCUAACCCUAACCCUAGCCUCAACCACAACCCUAACCCUAACCCUAACCCUAGCCUCAACCAUAACCCUAACCCUAAGCCUAACCCUAGCCUCAACCACAACCCUAACCCUAACCCUAGCCUCAACCACAACCCUAACCCUAACCCUAGCCUCAAAUAUCUCUCUAACCCUAACCCUAACCCUAGCCUCAAACAUCACUCUAACCCUAACCCUAACCCUAGCCUCAAACGUAACCCUAACCCUAACCCUAACCCUAGCCUCAGCCACAACCCUAACCCUAACCCUAGCCUCAACCAUAACCCUUACCCUAACCUCAAACAACACUCUUACCCUAACCCUAGCCUCAACCACAACCCUAACCCUAACCCUAACCCUAGCCUCAACCAUAACCCUAACCCUAAGCCUAACCCUAGCCUCAAACAUCACUCUAACCCUAACCCUAACCCUAGCCUCAAACGUAACCCUAACCCUAACCCUAACCCUAGCCUCAACCACAACCCUAACCCUAACCCUAACCCUAGCCUCAAACAUCACUCUAACCCUAACCCUAACCCUAGCCUCAAACUGACCCUAACCCUAACUCUAGCCUCAGCCACAACCCUAACCCUAUCCUCAACCUUAACCCUAACCCUAGCCUCAAACAUCACUCUAACCUUAACCCUAACCCUAGCCUAAACCACAACCCUAACCCUAACCCUAACCCUAGCCUCAUGAGAACCCUAACCCUAACCCUAGCCUCAAAUAUCUCUCUAACCCUAACCCUAACCCUAGCCUCAACCACAACCCUAACCCUAACCCUAGCCUCAAACAUAACCCUAACCCUAAUCCUAACCCUAGCCUCAACCACAACCCUAACCCUAACUCUAGCCUCAAACAUCACUCUACCCCUAACCCUAGCCUCAAACGUAACCCUAACCCUAACCCUAACCCUAACCCUAGCCUCAGCCACAACCCUAACCCUAACCCUGGCCUCAAAUAUCUCCCUAACCCUAACCCUAACCCUAGCCUCAAACGUAACUCUAACACUCACCCUAACCCUAGCCUCAACCACAACCCUUACCCUAACCCUAGCCUCAACACUAACCCUAAGCAGAAUGAUUGCAGUCCCGACCACCUGCUUCUCCCUUCCCCAUCCUCUGACACUUUGUACUAAAGCACCCUAACCUUACUCCUUUAGAUACAUUUCACUCUAUUCCCUCCCUUUCCUAUUCCUUCUUAAUAUGCAAAACUCGUUUUGUAUAACCCUUCACCAUACCUACUGUAAUUCCCAACUGAACCUCCAAAAAUAAUUUCUCUACAAACACAUAGUCUAAAGCAGUGGUCUCCGUAUGGCAGACCGCGGUCCACUUCCGGACCAGGAAAGAGUCCAAUACGGACCCGAGCCUACCGCAGAAAAAUGUAUGUUAUUUUUCUCUCUUGUAGGCCUGCACGAUAUACAUGUGUGCGAUAGUCACAUUGCAGAGCCUGUGAUGUCGGAGGUGAAUGAACUCAGUUAAUUUCAAGGGUAGCCGACUGAGAUACACUGCAUGUGACUCUGCAUGUGCUGUGUAGCGAUCCACCAAUAACCUUUGUCCUUUACUCAGUUGCCAAUCAGACUCAGUUCUCAGUUGCCAAUCAGACUACCCUGCCAGCUUGUCAAUCAAAAUCAGAGAGGAGGAAACCCACCCCUGCACAUGUUCUGCACAUGGAGGUACUCGCUGGCUGCUGGUGUUGAGCCGAGAAACGCGUGUCCGCUGAGAAUUACUUUCGGAACUUUACUGACUGUUAAGCCCAACAAAUAAGAACUGUAUGGGUUUUAAAUUGUACAUUUCCGUGGACCACGCUAUUAUAAGCGUUGCGCGUUUUGCGAGGUGCAUGCAAUUCUUGGCACACUUGCGUUUCUCGGCACAACACCGCUAACAACAACAACAACGAUUGCAAAAUGAGCAACGAACAAGAGAAAACCACCGAAAAUUAAGAUUUGUUGCCAAAAAGAAAAGGAAAGUCAGUUAUCUGGAAUUAUUUUGGUUAAAAGAAGGAUGAUGUUGACCAAAACAUGUGUUCUGUGUUCAUCUGUCGCCACAAUAACGUCCCAGCACAAUAAAAGCUAAAAAAUAUCUCUGAGACAGACAGAAGCCAUUCUAACAUUCACAAAAAGAGGUAAGAUCAGUGCAGGUUAACUGUCCUCAAGAUUUCAGCGGUGCAGCAUAACAUUAAAUGCUAUUCAGGUCAUCUGUUGAAAAUUCCUAUAUUUUUAAUAUCGCAAUAUAUAUCGCAGGGUUGAAAAAAAUCACAAUGUUAGUUUUUUCCGAUAUCGUGCAGCCUUACUCUCUUGCUUUGUGCCUGGUACAGUAAACUGCACGUGCAAUUUCAGCAAGGCAUUACAUCACUUGCUUACUCGCUUGACUUGUCAAUCAAAUCAGACCUCUUAGCCUACUCGACACACGAAGAUUACCGAGCAAUCCCGAUGUUGAAAACUGUCAGGCGGCAGACUGAGGAGAAAGUUGUAGCAGCAGCUAAACAUGUCGGCUUCAAAACCACGAAAGGUAGAGAAUGAGAACAGGUUGUUUUAUGGCGAGUGGACUGAGUCGUUUGCAUUCAUUUUACCCGCAGGAAGCACACAGCCAAUUGAAAGUAGGCAGUUAUUGGCAAUACAAAUGAAGUGAAUAUUUCAAAAGAGUAAUGCACUGUAAAAAAAAUAAAUAAAUAAAAAUCCCUAGACCCAGGCCUGCAGGCAUUUCAUUCGGGUGGACCCACUGAAAAUUUAUAUGAAGACCCCUGGUCUAAAGGAUAGACAGAUAGAUAGAUAGAUACCAAUUGAGCUGAGUAAUUAAACUUACUGUCCACACAUAAUUUUUUCACACAGAUUGAGCUCUGAGUCUCGACUGGGAACAUGUGACAGGUCGACAUGCGCCAGCCAGUGCAAGCCCUUGAUUAGCCUACCCCAAACCGCCAAGUCAGCUGACGAAAGUGGGGGCUAUCACUGUACCCACACCUAACCCUAGACCUGACACCAAACCUAACCCUAAUCCUAGCCCUAACCCUUACCCAUACCUAACCCUUGCCCCAACCCUAACCCAGCCUCAACCCUAACCCUAUCUUUAACCAUAACCCUUGUCCCAACCCUAACCCUAUCCCAAUCCUAAAUCUAACCCCAGCCCCAACCCUAGCCUCAACCCUUCCCCUAACCCUAAAUCCAACCCUAAUCCUAGCCCUAAUCCUAACCCUAGUCCCAACCCUAACCCUACCCCUAACCCUAAUGCCAUAACCUUAUCCCUUACCCUAACAUCCUAACCCUAGCUUAAUUCCUUUUUUUUUUGACAUUUUUCCUUUUUUUUUUUGUAUUAAAUGACUCCAAAUUGUCUGAAACAUACUUCUAAAACGGUCCUGGACAGUGAUUUUAACCCUAACCCCAUAACCCUUACCCUGAGUGAAUUAUCAGUAAAGUGUGCAAAAAAUAUCAAGUAUCAAGGUGCAAAUAGACACAGACAAAAUAAACAUGCUGUAAAUUUGUACCAGGGUAAAUAAUGCAAUUAUUCUGCUUUUUAGGCAUCACAUGGUUACGAUGUUUGACAAUCUGAUAAGCCAGCUGUGGUUUUAACUGUAUGACAGUUAACAUCAGACGUGACACCUCGAGGUCCCCACCCAUCAUCUGUCACCACCAUCAAUCUGGCUACACCCUGUCUUCAUGCACACAGUUCAACUUGCCCUGCUGCACACACACAUUACGCACACACACAUUACGCGCGCACACACACACACACACACACACACACACACACACACACACACACACACACACACACACACACACACACACACACACACACAGCUCUGCUGCAUUGACACCGGUCCAAUUUUUUCGGGGGGCCAUGUUCUAAGUAAUUGCGGUCUUUUGAACAGCAUCAGAGCAUGUCACCUUUACAGUCACACACCCUGUGGCCUUUAGCUCCACACAUAACUGCAAAUACAGCCACAGCCUGCACUUUGUUUGACAUAACGCAGGUGAGAUGAAUCCACAAACACUUAUAUUAACCACAGUAACUGGCAUUGUCGUAUGUGUACAGGUGGAUAUUGUGGAUAUAGGGCGUCUCCUGCUGAAUGUUGUUUAUGAAACUGUGCCAGCUGUCUGUCUCAUUCAUUCUGCUGCUGCAGCAGCUGAGACCCAAAGGAGAGCUCCCUCUAGUGGUGGCAACUCACGAGGCUGCUGUUUUGCAGGAUCACCCAAAAUAAGUGGUAUCUUGUUCAUUUAGACUAGAUUAGACAAGAGGGUCACUUUAUCUGUUGUUUACUUUCACUUUGUGGAAGUGUGUUUAUUCAUCAGCUUUUAUGUUCAAGGCUAUGAGAUUCUCUUACUGAUAUUUUUAUGUCUGAAGGCAGAGGGAGACAAAUGGAAGAUGAAAAAAACUAACCAGGACAGAGGUUCAGAAAGCAUAGCUAUUUUUAUUUCCCUUCCUUUGGGUACACUGAGUUAUUCAGCAGUUUUGGCAAUGUCAUCUUUAGCUUCAGAUCUUUGUCUCUUUUUCCACUAAAAAGGAGCAUCAGUCAUCACUAGCAAAUGCAUUGAGAAGUCUUUCUUCUUACUGAAAAAACAAGUUCGGUUCAACAGCCAUUAAAAAACUCUUACAGCCUCCCUCUCGAUUCUUUCAGGUGAGAAUUGCACUGUAUUCUCGAUAUUUGGUGUUUCCUCAUCCUUGUGCAAGAUUGGCACGUGGUUACAUUUGCAAUCCUUAUUUGUUUGACUAACAAACAAGCACCCUGUGGAAAACAUGUUAACACACCAGUAAUUAGAAGAAGAAAAUUAGAAUGACAGAAUAUGCAUUACAUCUCUGAAUUAUCACACUUACAAUAAACAGUUUCAAUAGGAAACUGCUCCAAGAACCUGAGAUAUUCCUUUCCCUACCUUUUCUCCUCUGUCAUUGAAACUUCUAGAACCUACAUUACCCACAAUGCAUUUUAACCUCCAACAGUUUCUUACUUCACAAUCUCUGUUGCAGUCUUCAAUCAGACUUGAUGCAGCAGAAAUAAUGUGAAUAAAAAUGUGUGCAUUUUUUCCACACAUGCAGUCACAGGCUAAGAAUUUAAACAACCAGCAGAUGAUCACAAUUCUUCCUGCACAAAAGGUGUUUUUUUUCUGAAAAUAAUCUCAGUGAGAUUGUCAGUGGACAAAAGAACCAAAUAACCAAAACACUCAUGGUCACAGUGCACGUAGAAAAACCAUUUCCAUGCAAACAAAAACACGCUAACUACACACACGCACACACACGCACUCUUCACUACCAGAUAAUGUAAUGACACUUCUUUUGACACAUGCCCACACACUCACACACUCUGUAGGUCUGAGGAGGAUGGAGGGUGGAGGGGGGAUGAGCAAUCCAGUAAAAAGCAUUCCUCAGAGCCUCUCUCCUAGUGGGUGGCCUGUUCGGACACUGCAGCUCAUUUUCUCUAAAUCCUUCACUUCCAUUGUGUCUGUCCACGGCGCUGUCUGUCCACUGUUACACUCACAGACACACUUGUAUCCUUUAAACACUUCUUACUGCUUUAUCUGUUGUGUUUAAAUGGCAAAUGAUCCCUGACUGUUGUUGACACAGGUCUUUUAAAAACUGCUGCUUGUUUAUCAGUGGCUUAUGUACAUCUUAAAUAAAGGUUAUCUUGUGUUUAAACCAGAGCAUUCAUGAGUUUUCAUUGCAAAAUCAAGCUAGUCUGGCCCAAGUCUCUGAGCUGGAUUCAACGAUUCACUUGAUUUGCGUGAAAAGAGGAGCGACGUUGCACACUCAGUCAGCCGCUCAGCUACAUCCAGCCACGGCAAGCUAAAACUGGCAGCCACUCCAUCAUAUCUGACACUUGAAUCAGCCGCAGCUCUUAAUGCAUGAAUGGUGGGAUGCAUCUGCUUUUUGGCUAACCCCAAACCACAGCAGACCACAAGAAACCCACACCAGUUAUAGACAUGUUCCACACAUUCAGUGAGGCCCUGGGAACAAAAAGUAUCAAACUCACGAACCACCCACGACCGGCAGUACAUCAAAACUGGUUCUUCUACUUUCUAACUCCUGUAAAAGUUACUGUAUAUACCACUGUGCUUAAACUCAGAAAUUAACUCUAACACUCACUUUGGCCAAGGGGUAGACAAACCUAUUUAUCUCUUUGCCGUCAUCCUUUCCCAAAGACUUUUAACUGAAACAGUUAAGUAGUUAACCAUGCCUGUCAAACAGACAUAAAGACAUGUUUUCAAGAGGUGACGUUUCACCUCCAUGGGCAGUUUGCACGGCCCCAGGCUGUGGUGAAAAAAAAAAUUUUCAUUUCAUGCAAGUUGUCUUCCUGAAUCAUAGCUGCAGCAGAAGAUAAGAUAAGAUAAACCUUUAUUCAUCCCAUAGUGGAAAAAGAGCAAUUUAGGCAGUUUUUAAAAAUAUUUCUUGUUAAUAUUUACAAAAACGUAUGUUAUAUUUAGCACUCAGAUACUGUUCGGGUCAAAUUUGACCUGUUUUGACUUUUAACAGCAGUAAAAAUACCCUAAACGUCAUUCUUUAAGCCUGAAACUUGAUGACUUUUCCUGAAAUGGCCCAUAAUACAUGAAAUUAAUUUAAAAAUAUUCAUGUGUACUUUUGUUUAUGUGCUACACAUUUUUCCCCUCUAAGGCUGUUACCGGUCAAAUUUGACCCUUAUCUAUUUAGAUGGAUUUUAGAUCCAGCAGUGUGGGACAAGUGACAAAUAGAAACAACAGUGUUCAAUAUAAGGUUUGUUGUUCAAAAAGAUAUAUUCAAAUCAUUAUGAAACUAUCAUUACCUUGACACACACACACACACACACACACACACACACACACACACACACACACACACACACACA